GUGCCAGCCGCCGCGGUAAUACGUAGGGGGCAAGCGUUGUCCGGAAUCAUUGGGCGUAAAGCGCGCGUAGGCGGCCCGGUAAGUCCGCUCUGAAAGUCCAGGGCUUAACCCUGGAAAGCGGGUGGAUACUGCCGGGCUUGAAUCCGGAAGAGGCGAGUGGAAUUCCUGGUGUAGCGGUGGAAUGCGCAGAUAUCAGGAGGAACACCAAUAGCGAAGGCAGCUCGCUGGGACGGUAUUGACGCUAAGGCGCGAAAGCGUGGGGAGCAAACAGGAUUAGAUACCCUGGUAGUCC
rnacentral:rRNA from 1 species